UGGCUUUGAUGACAAAAAACAUAGAUCACAACACCCAAGUCCCUUUGAAUGCCUGGAAAGGCUUCCCAAGAAGGUUGGGUACAAACAAGCCCAGGAUGCAAAGAUUGCAGUAAAUACCUAACUCAUCAAUGCCCAGGCAAGCAUUAUGACCACCCAGGAAAACAUGACCUUACCAAAUGAACUACAUAAGACACCAGGUAUCAAUCCUGGAAAGACAGAGAUAUGUGACCUCUCAUACAGAGAAUUCAAAAUAGCUGUCUUGAGGAAACUCACGGAAACUCACAGAUACUCAAGAUAACAUAAAGAAGGAAAAAUAGCCUCAAAGGGCAAAUCUAAAAGUUAUUGGCCUUAAAAAGGAGACAGAAAGAGAGAUAGGGAAAAAAGUUUUCUGUUAAGGGCUAAUAACAGAGAACGUCCCAAA
rnacentral:lncRNA from 1 species